UCGUAACAAGGUUUCCGUAGGUGAACCUGCGGAAGGAUCAUUACUGAGUGAGGGCCCUCUGGGUCCAACCUCCCACCCGUGUUUAUUAUACCUUGUUGCUUCGGCGGGCCCGCCGUAAGGCCGCCGGGGGGCUUCUGCCCCCGGGCCCGCGCCCGCCGAAGACAUCUCGAACUCUGUCUGAAGAUUGUAGUCUGAGUAUAAAUAUAAAUUAUUUAAAACUUUCAACAACGGAUCUCUUGGUUCCGGCAUCGAUGAAGAACGCAGCGAAAUGCGAUACGUAAUGUGAAUUGCAGAAUUCAGUGAAUCAUCGAGUCUUUGAACGCACAUUGCGCCCUCUGGUAUUCCGGAGGGCAUGCCUGUCCGAGCGUCAUUGCUGCCCUCAAGCACGGCUUGUGUGUUGGGCCCCGUCCUCCGAUCCCGGGGGACGGGCCCGAAAGGCAGCGGCGGCACCGCGUCCGGUCCUCGAGCGUAUGGGGCUUUGUCACCCGCUCUGUAGGCCCGGCCGGCGCUUGCCGAUCAACCAAAUUUUUAUCCAGGUUGACCUCGGAUCAGGUAGGGAUACCCGCUGAACCUAAGCAUAUCA
rnacentral:misc_RNA from 1 species